UGCAAAUUCUGCCCAAGCAAA
rnacentral:piRNA from 1 species